GAAUGAGUGAGGGUGCUGAGAACCAUAAGCUUUCGCUUCUUUGUAUGUCAGAAGAACAUGAACAGCAAGAAUGGUGAAUCCAUUGCUGUUUGGAGGAGUGAAGUGGUAUAAUUUUUUUUAAAGGCUCCCCAGGAACCAUCAGUGGAACAAGUUACUGGGAAUGUGUUGAGUCUCCUUAACUGGGGAGAGGACCCAAGGAUGUUACCAUUCAUGUUGAAGAGUGUUACCCCCGUGGAGAGCACAGACCUUAGAAGACUGACAGUAACCACCCUAUCAUGAUGAGACUCUGAUCUACUUCUGAAGAUUUUUAGGAAGAAAGGAUUUCUGCCACCAGUACACACACUUGAUAACAGCUUUGUUUGUUUAGGCCUUACAGGUUACCGAGUGCUUUCGGAGAUUUUCUCCUUUGUAUUUUUACC
ensembl:lncRNA